rnacentral:rRNA from 1 species
CCUACGUGGGGCUGCAGUGGGGAAUAUUGGACAAUGGGCGAAAGCCUGAUCCAGCCAUGCCGCGUGUGUGAAGAAGGCCUUCGGGUUGUAAAGCACUUUCAGUGGGGAAGAAAGCCUUGGGGCUAAUACCCUCGAGGAAGGACAUCACCCACAGAAGAAGCACCGGCUAACUCCGUGCCAGCAGCCGCGGUAAUACGGAGGGUGCGAGCGUUAAUCGGAAUUACUGGGCGUAAAGCGCGCGUAGGCGGUCUGAUAAGCCGGUUGUGAAAGCCCCGGGCUCGACCUGGGAACGGCAUCCGGAACUGUCAGGCUAGAGUGCAGGAGAGGAAGGUAGAAUUCCCGGUGUAGCGGUGAAAUGCGUAGAGAUCGGGAGGAAUACCAGUGGCGAAGGCGGCCUUCUGGUCUGACACUGACGCUGAGGUGCGAAAGCGUGGGUAGCAAACAGGAUUAGAUACCCUAGUAGUC